AGCAUGGCCAGCCAUAGAAAAAUGCUUAUUGAAAUUCUCAAUUAUCGUGGAUUUAUCGGUGGUGACAGUGUUUCCUAGCCUCAGUGCAGUGGGUAGCUGGGAGGAGGUGCUCUUAUUCUCCAUGGACUUUACAGUGUCCCAGAACCUUUUUGAGUUUGUGCUACAGGAUGCAAAUUUCUGUUUGAAAAAACUAGCCUUAGCUUUCCUAACUGCCUGUGUAUAUUGGUUCCUAACUUCCCUGAAAUGUUGCAUAUCACGGGGGCUAUUUGAUGCUAAUGCAGAACGCCACAGGAUGUUUUUGUGCUGGUCAAGGGCAGUCACAUCUGGAGAGAACCAAGGGCUAUAUCUGUUCCUUGUUCUACAUUUUUUGAAUGAGGCAUGCUUAUUUAAGAUGGUGAGGAAGGCUGCUUUAGCUGCUUGCUAAAGUGUUUUAGGGAGCGUUUGACAGUGAUGAGGAGUGGUCGUUUGACCGCAUACCCAUUACGGAUGCAGGCAAUGAGGCAGUGAUCUCUGAGAUCUUUGUUGAAGACAGCAGAGGUGUAUUUGGAGGGCAAGUUGGUUAGGAUGAUAUCUAUGAGGGUGCCCAUGUUUAUGGAUUUGGGGUUGUACCUGGUAGGUUCAUUGAUAAUUUCUGUAAGAUUUAGGGCAUCAAACUUAGAUUGUAGGCUGGCCGGGGUGUUAAGCAUGUGCCAGUUUAGGUCACCUAGCAGCACGAGCUCUGAAGAUAGAUCGGGGGCAAUCAAUUCACAUAUGGUGUCCAGGGCACAGCUGGGGGCAGAGGGUGGUCUAUAGCAAGCGGCAACGGUGAGAGACUUGUUUCUGGAAAGGUGCAUUUUUAGAAGUAGAAGCUCGAAUUGUUUGGGCACAGACCUGGAUAGUAUGACAGAACUCUGCAGGCUAUCUCUGCAGUAGAUUGCCACUCCGCCCCCUUUGGCAGUUCUAUCUUGUCGAUAAAAAGUUAUAUUUAGGGAUGAAAAUGCCAAGGUUAUUGGUGGUCUUCCUAAGCCAGGAUUCAGACACGGCUAGGACAUCCGGGUUGGCAGAGUGUGCUAAACCAGUGAAUAAAACAAACUUGGGGAGGAGGCUUCUAAUGUUAACAUGCAUGAAACCAAGGCUUUUACGGUUACAGAAGUCAACAAAUGAGAGCGCCUGGGGAAUGGAAGUGGAGCUAGGCACUGCAGGGCCUGGAUUAACCUCUACAUCACCAGAGGAACAGAGGAGGACUAGGAUGAGGGUACGGCUAAAGGCUAUAAGAACUGGUCGUCUAGUACGUUUGGAACAGAGAGUAAAAGGAGCAGGUUUCUGGGUGCAAUAGAAUAGAUUCAAGGCAUAAUGUACAGACAAAGGUAUGGUAGGAUGUGAAUACAGUGGAGGUUAACCUCGGCAUAGAGUGACGAUGAGAGAGAUAUUGUCUCAAGAAACAUCAUUUCAACCAGGUGAUGUCACCGCAUGUGUGGGAGGUGGAACUGAAGGGUUAGCUAAGGCAUAUUGAACAGGGCUAGAGGCUCUACAGUGAAAUAAUACAAUAAUCACUAACCAUAACAGCAAUGGACAAGGCAUAUUGAUAUUAGGGAGAGGAAUGCGUAGCCGAGUGAUCAUAGUGAGUAGUUAAGCUGGCUAGAGACACGGCGAUUCAGACAGCUAGCGGGCCGGGGCUAGCAAGCUAGCAGAAGGUUCUUAGAGGGACGUCACGAUGGAAGGAGUCUGUUGUAGCCUCGUCGUGCUGAGCCUCCCCGUGCGGUUCCGUCGGCAGACCAGCCGUGAAUGAUUAGUAAGUUUCCGUGUAGCAAAGGGGCCCAGUCCAAUUGGCAAAAUAGGUAUAGUGGUCCAAGAAAUUGACCGAUGGACCUAUUCAGCUAACAGUCCGAUAUGCUCUAGACGGCUAGCAGGCCGCGGCUAGCAGAUGGGGAUUCAGGGGACGUCGCGAUGGAGGGGCCUGUUGGAAAAAGAACCCUCGGGCAGAUUACGUCGGUAGUCCAGUCGUGAUGGAUUAGCAGGGCUUCUUUUAGUAAAAAGGGUCCAGGCCAAUUGGCAAAAUAGGUAUUUUAGCCCAAGGAGUGGCUGAUGGACCUGUUCAGCUUGCCGGGAGAUGGGCCUAGGAUGGGCUAGCUCCAGGCUAAUUGGUGCUUGCUUCGGGACAAAGACGUUAGCCAGGAGUAGCCACUCAGAUUGCAGCUAGCAAGCUGCGAUGAUCCAGGUGAAAAGGUUCAGAGCUUGCGGUAGGAAUCCGGGGAUAUGGAGAGAAAAUAAGUCCGGUAUGCUCUAGUUUGAAUCGCGUUGUGCAAACUGGCAAGAGAUUUCCGAGCUAGAGGUUAGCUGAAGACCGCUAGCAGUGGUUAGCUGACUAGUAGCUAGUUCGCUGGCUAGCUUCUGUUGGGGGAUUCCGGUUCGAAAGUAAAGAAAAAUACUUUAGAAAAUAGCAGAUCCAUACCACAUUGGGUGAGGCAGGUUGCGGGAGAGUAUUUUGAAGUUGAGGUUUAGAAAAAUAUAAAAAAGAUAUGCGAAGAAAAAAUAUAUAUACACACGGGACAUGACAUGACGAGGACAAAGACGUCUGACUGCUACACCAUCUUGGAAGAUUAUGAGGCCAGAAUGCUCGGAUCAACCCUACUCCUCUGCCAGAGCGUCCAGUGUGCGCUCUAAACGCUCAGAGAGCGAAACGCUCUGAAUUUACAAACGGACAAUCUGACAAUGCUCUGAAUUUACUAAUGCCGAGAGGGCACUCUGGCACUCCAGAUUGAAUUUACGAACACACCCUUAGCUUGCUAUUCUGAAAAUCCAAUUCAACAAUGCCAAUAAUGUUUCAAUUCGACUUUUGCUUUCAAAAUAAGCUCAAACAUAGAACAUGUAAAAACGAACUAUAGCCAUUGAAUUCUCCCAUGAAAAUAUACCAUGCGUUAUUUAAGCAACAAGGCACAAGAGGGUGUGGUAUAUGGCCAAUAUACCACGGCAAGUGCUGUUCUUGUGCAUGACACAGCGCAGAGUGCCUGGAUAGAGCCCUUAGCUGUGGUAUAUUGGCCAUAUACCACAACCCCCCAAAUUGCCGUAUUGCUAUUAUAAACUGAUUACCAAUGUAAUUAGAGCAGUAAAAAUACAUGUUUUGCCAUACCCGUGGUAUACGGUCUGAUAUACACAGUUUAUAAUGGGAAAUAAAUGAAUGCUCUAGAAUGCCCUUCAAGCGAUCCAGGAACAAGUAUUCAACAAUGCCAUGGUAUAAUGGCAGUUAAUUUGAAAGAAUUAUGGAGUCCUUCCCCUAAAACUUAGUGGUACACAACUUCAGGAUGUUUGGAGUCGAAAGGAGUCGACUCCUGCUCGACUCUCAAAACACGCAGAAACUGAUGCGAACACACACACACACCACCUCAGUAUUACAGUGUCCUACUAGGAAGACUACAUUUGCAUUCUAGAGGACAUAAAUGAACAUGAUGCUGCCCAUUUGCCUAUAAUAUUUGAAUAUAGAAGGGGAUGUGUAGGAAGGUAGGAACUAGAAUAUUUCAGUUGUGUGCAGCCUUGACGAAUCCCAUGGGAUGAUAUGCACUCUAAAAAUUAGGGGUUCAACAAGGGUUCUUCUAAGAUCCUCAAAGUUCUUAGAAGAACCUUAGGCUUCUUGGCACUGAAAAAAAGGUUACCAAAAGGUUCUUCCAAGAACCCCAUAGGAGGUGGGGUUUGUCGGUCGAGGAACCUCCUUAGUUGUUGGGGGUUCUUGCAGGAACCUAACUGCUCAACUGAAACAUUUGGAUUUGAAAGGACAGCAGGUGCAGGCACUUAACUGAAAAAUGUAAAGAUCUCCUUGAUUUAAGAAAAUGGACACAAUUCAAUGGAUAUCAAUCAACAAAGAGGUAUAUAGAUGAGGAGGCAUACAAAGGUAUGUCUAUUGGUAUUGGUAUGUUAUGUUAUGCAGAUCACAUUUACCAUGCAUUUACCACCACCUCUUCAAUGAAUAUCCCAUAGGUCUCUACAUUAUGGAUAAGGUAUGUGUCUGAAAAACAUUAUCAAAACAGUUUUUUAAAUUCACAUUUACCACAAAAACCAAGGUAUGAAUACUGUUGUGUGCAUGUUUUGUUAAUCAUCUGUAUAAUUAAAAAAAAAAUGGAUUCACAGACUUCACCCUCCCUACCUCUCUGAUGAAUAAAACAGGAAACCUGUUUGAUCACCAUGCCCUGCAAAAUCAUUCUGGCUAUGGAAACGGAGAACAUCAACACGCCAGAGGAUAAACCCAUUGGACUUGGGGCUCUGCUGGGAGUUUGCCUCAUAUUUAGAUUUUUUUAUUCUGCUUUGGCACUAAAAUCAUA